GCUCGGGUGGUGAAAUCGGUAUACACGAGAGACUUAAAAUCUCUUGCCGAAAGGCGUGCGGGUUCAAGUCCCGCCCCGAGCA
rnacentral:tRNA from 1 species